rnacentral:rRNA from 1 species
GACGAACGCUGGCGGCGUGCUUAACACAUGCAAGUCGAACGUGAUUUUUAUGGAAAUUCUUUCGGGAAUGGAAAUGAAAUGAAAGUGGCGAACGGGUGAGUAACACGUGAGCAACCUACCUUACACAGGGGGAUAGCCGUUGGAAACGACGAUUAAUACCGCAUGAGACCACAGAAUCGCAUGAUAUAGGGGUCAAAGAUUUAUCGGUGUAAGAAGGGCUCGCGUCUGAUUAGCUAGUUGGAAGGGUAGAGGCCUACCAAGGCGACGAUCAGUAGCCGGUCUGAGAGGAUGAACGGCCACAUUGGAACUGAGACACGGUCCAAACUCCUACGGGAGGCAGCAGUGGGGAAUAUUGCACAAUGGGGGGAACCCUGAUGCAGCGACGCCGCGUGAGCGAAGAAGGUUUUCGAAUCGUAAAGCUCUGUCCUAUGAGAAGAUAAUGACGGUAUCA